GGACUCGUAGCUCAGCGGCUUAGAGCGCUUCAUUGACAUUGAAGAGGUCACAGGUUCAAAUCCUGUCGGGUCCACCA
rnacentral:tRNA from 1 species